rnacentral:misc_RNA from 1 species
GUGAAGAACGCAGCUAAAUGCGAUAAGUAAUGUGAAUUGCAGAAUUCCGUGAAUCAUCGAAUUUUUGAACGCAUAUUGCGCCCUCUGGUAUUCCGGAGGGCAUGCCUGUCCGAGCGUCAUUUCUGCCCUCGAGCCGGUCCAGCAUCUAGGUGCUGCUCCGGCCCGGCGUUGGGGCACUACGGGAAGCCUCGUGCUAUCCCCCGUAGGCCCCGAAAUGAAGUGGCGGUCCUGCCGCGGCUCCCCCUGCGUAGUAUUACAGCUCGCUUCGGGACCCGGUGGAGGCCUGCCGUCAAACCUUACUCUCUAAGUUUGACCUCGGAUCAGGUAGGGUUACCCGCUGAACUUAAGCAUAUCAAUAAGCGGAGGA